GCCUGGGUGACUCAGUCAGUUGAGCAUCUGACUUCAAGUCAUGAUCUCAUGGGUUUGUGGGUUCAAGCCCCACAUCGGGCU
rnacentral:tRNA from 1 species